AUUGAACGCUGGCGGCAUGCUUUACACAUGCAAGUCGAACGGUAACAGGCCGCAGGUGCUGACGAGUGGCGAACGGGUGAGUAAUACAUCGGAACGUGCCCAGUCGUGGGGGAUAACGCAGCGAAAGCUGCGCUAAUACCGCAUACGAUCUCUGGAUGAAAGCGGGGGACCGAAAGGCCUCGCGCGAUUGGAGCGGACGGUGUCAGAUUAGGUAGUUGGUGGGGUAAAGGCCCACCAAGCCAACGAUCUGUAGCUGGUCUGAGAGGACGACCAGCCACACGGGGACUGAGACACGGCCCAGACUCCUACGGGAGGCAGCAGUGGGGAAUUUUGGACAAUGGGCGCAAGCCUGAUCCAGCAAUGCCGCGUGCAGGAAGAAGGCCUUCGGGUUGUAAACUGCUUUUGUACGGAACGAAACGGUCCGGGCUAAUACCCUGGGCUAAUGACGGUACCGUAAGAAUAAGCACCGGCUAACUACGUGCCAGCAGCCGCGGUAACAC
rnacentral:rRNA from 1 species